rnacentral:rRNA from 1 species
UACAGAGGUCUCAAGCGUUGUUCGGAUUCAUUGGGCGUAAAGGGUGCGUAGGCGGCGCGGUAAGUCGGGUGUGAAAUCUUGGAGCUUAACUCCGAAACUGCAUUCGAUACUGCCGUGCUUGAGGACUGGAGAGGAGACUGGAAUUUACGGUGUAGCGGUGAAAUGCGUAGAUAUCGUAAGGAAGACCGGUGGCGAAGGCGGCCAACUGGACGAAUACUGACGCUGAGACGCGAAAGCGUGGGGAGCAAACAGG